rnacentral:misc_RNA from 1 species
AUUGAUUUUUAGUUAUUCGUGAACGUACUACGAACAAACAAAAAAAUAUUAUAGUCAAAAAAAAUUAAAUCA